ACGUGCAUAGUUCAUAUGUAUUGUACUAAAAAAAUAAAAGGUGAGACUUUUGGUGGGGGAAAAAGAAAAAGAAUUUAAAAAGGUGAGACUUUAAUUUGUAUAUAUUGGAAUUAAUAAAAGGUAUUCCCAAAGUAGUAAAAAAGAGAGGGUUUUAUUUAGAUUGAUGGAAGAGAGAGAGGUGUGUUUUAGUUGGUUAGUGAAGAGCCCAAAGAAAGAACUUCUUCAUGAACAACAAGUUGUUCCUACACCUUCUUCCAUUUGGGAAGAUGAUUUCAGAGCUUUUUUCGACCUCACCCACGAAGAAACCCCCCCGCCGCCGCUGCAUCACCCGGACUACUACCAUUUCCAGAACCACGUCAAUGACGUUAUGGAAAACAACAACAAGGUUUCUAAUUUGAAUUUAAAUCUUAACUAUGAAGAGGUUUUGGAAGCAUGGUCCGACCGUGGAUCUCUUUGGGCCGCUGCAUCCUCUUCCCAUUCCAACGACUCAACUCACACCCCCUAUAUGGGAGAGGUUCCAAUAAUAAGAAUGGAGGAAGAAAGAAGAAGAAGGGUGAAGAGAUAUAAGGAAAAGCGUCAAGCAAGAAUAUUCUGUAAGAAGAUAAGAUACCAAGUUCGUAAGCUCAAUGCUGACAGAAGGCCUAGAAUUAAGGGGCGUUUUGUGAAGACAGAUUGUUGAAUGAAAAAAGAAAGAAAGAAAGAAAGAAAGAAAGAAAGAAAGAAAAAGUUGAAAAAUAUCUCAACACAACAAUAAAAGUAUCUCUCCAACUUUUCCUUUUAACAUUAUUCUUCAUGAAAAUAUCUAAAAUUUGUAUGCACAUAGAUAUAAUAUAUCUGUGUGAUGCUCAGAAGCUUUGUGUGUGGGACUGUGGGGUUUCUAAUUUCAAUAAUGGUGGGUCUGAUCUCCAGAGGGACCCCAACUUAAUUGUCCAUUUAUUGAAUUGAUACACACCCUCUCAGCUUCACCAUACCUUUAGCUACAUUUGUUACUCAUCUCAUCAUCUUCUUCAUCAUCAUCAUCACUCAUCACUCUCUCAACAAACCUUAAAUUAUAUAUUGUAACAACAGAACUUCCCCAUCACCUUUUCAAGUGUGAGUGUGUGUUUGGACACCACAGACUUAAUUAAGGAGCACUCUGAUGGAAAUGUUUCAUAUUUUCAUGA